UGUUCCUUUUUGUAGAAUGGUAGUCGAAGAAGAACACCAGGUGGAGUUUUUCUGAAUCUCUUGAAAAACACUCCUAGUAUCAGCGAGGAACAAAUUAAGGACAUUUUCUACAUUGAAAACCAAAAGGAAUAUGAAAAUAAAAAAGCUGCUAGGAAGAGGAGAACACAAGUGUUGGGGAAAAAGAUGAAACAAGCUAUUAAAAGUCUAAAUUUUCAAGAAGAUGAUGAUACAUCACGAGAAACUUUUGCAAGUGACACAAAUGAGGCCUUGGCCUCUCUUGAUGAGUCACAGGAAGGACAUGCAGAAGCCAAGUUGGAGGCAGAGGAAGCCAUUGAAGUUGAUCAUUCUCAUGAUUUGGACAUCUUUUAAGUACAUUUUCAACAGUUUGAGGACUAAGCCUUUCUAAAAUAACAUUGUAAUAAACCAUUUUUACUGAGAUUGCAACGUUUUGCACUGAUAAACAUGAGUAUCUGGAGGAAAGACAAUUGUUUUCUUGUUUAAAAUAUGUGCGGAAAGGAAUGCAAUUGAUAGAACAUUUAAAGAUAUAUCUGACAAAAUACUUAAGAGUAUAUAGCACAGGAUUUAAUUUCUCAAUCUGUUGCAUGUGCUAAUUAUGAGUAUUACUAGUUGAUAAUCAGUUUUGUCUAGGUCAUAACAUACUAUUUGUAAGUUUGUUUGCUUUUUCAAGUUUAUCUUUGCAGUGAAUUAUGCUUUGGCUUUAAAACAUUCCACUAAAAUUAUAAUGGGACAUAUAAAUUAUUAAGCUGUUAGAAAUGCAUUCAAAUUUGUUUUUUCUGUGUUCUAAGAACUCAGGCAAUUUUAAGGAUAAAAACUAACAUUGGCCAGGCACGGUGGCUCACGCCUGUAAUCCCAACACUUUGGGAGACCAAGGCGGGCAGAUCACUUGAGGUCAGGAGUUUGAGACCAGCCAGGCCAACAUGGUGAAACUUCGUCUCUACUAAAAAUACAAAAACUAGCCAGGUGUGGUUCUCCAUGCCUGUAAU
rnacentral:sRNA from 1 species